rnacentral:tRNA from 1 species
GACCCCAUCGUCUAGGGGCCCAGGACACCGCCCUUUCACGGCGGUAACGCGGGUUCGAAUCCCGCUGGGGUCGCCA